rnacentral:rRNA from 1 species
GAUCCUGGCUCAGGACGAACGCUGGCGGCGUGCUUAACACAUGCAAGUCGAACGAAAAGAGGGAAAGAGCUUGCUCUUUCCGGAAUUGAGUGGCAAACGGGUGAGUAACACGUAAACAACCUGCCUUCAGGAUGGGGACAACAGACGGAAACGACUGCUAAUACCGAAUAAGUUCCAAGAGCCGCAUGGCCCAUGGAAGAAAAGGUGGCCUCUACCUGUAAAGCUAUCGCCUGAAGAGGGGUUUGCGUCUGAUUAG